rnacentral:rRNA from 1 species
GACGAACGCUGGCGGCGUGCUUAACACAUGCAAGUAGAACGGAAAGGCCCUGCUGUAGUGGGGUGCUCGAGUGGCGAACGGGUGCGUAAGAGGUGAGUACGCUGACCUUGACUUUGGGAUAACUUCGGGAAACUGGGGCUAAUGCUGGCUAGGAGCUCCUGCUGCAAGGUGGGGGAUGGAAAGUUUCGGCGGUUGGGGAUGGACUCGCGGCUUAUCAGAUUGUUGGUGGGGUAGUGGCUUACCAAGGCAUUGGCGGGUAGCCGGCCUGAGAGGGUGACCGGCCACAUUGGGCCUGGGGUACGGCCCGUACUCCUACGUGAGGCAGCAGUGGGGGUUUUUCCACGCUGGGCGGCAGCCGGAUGCAGCAACGCCGCGUCCUGGAUGUCGGCCGUCGGGUUGUAACCCGCUUUCGCCUGGGACGAAGCGUGAGUGACGGUAAUGGGUAAAGAAGCACCGGCUAACUACGUG